CCCAGGUUUUGUUUUCUCUGCUCUGUGUCCUCUGCUCCUGGAGGCCCAGCCUCGCGGCCCCGUGACCUGCAGGUUUUGAGAGAUCCACAGCUAAGAUGCCGGGACCCCCUGGACGCCUGAAAUGGGGCCGUUGACAUUUAGGGAUGUGGCCAUCGAAUUCUCUCUGGAGGAGUGGCAAUGCCUGGACACUGCUCAGCAGGAUUUGUAUAGAAAAGUGAUGUUAGAGAACUACAGAAACGUGGCCUUCUUGGGUAUUGCUGUUUCUAAGCCAGACCUGAUCACCUGUCUGGAGCAAGGAAAAGAGCCCUGGAAUAUGAAGAGAUAUGAGAUGGUAGAUGAACCCCCAGCUACAUGUUCCUAUUUUGUCAAAGACCUUUGGCCAGAGCAAGACAUAAAAGAUUCUUUUCAACAAGUGAUACUGAGAAGAUAUGGAAAAUGUGGACCUGAGAAUUUACAGUUAAGAAAAGGCUCUGCAAGUGUGGAUGAGUGUAAGGUGCACAAAGAAGGUUAUAAUGAACUAAACCAGUGUUUGACAGCUACCCAGAGUGAAAUAGUUCAAUGCGAUAAAUAUAUGAAAGUCUUUCUUAAAUGUUUAAAUUCAAACGGACAUAAGACAAGACGUACUGGAAAGAAAACUUUCAAAUGUAAAAAAUGUGGCAAAUCAUUUUGCAUGCAUUUAUACCUAAGUCAAAAUAAAAGAAUUCAUAUUAGAGAGAAUUCUUAUCAAUGUGAAGAAUGUGGCAAAGUCUUUACACGGUCCUCACACCUUUCUAGACACACAAGAAUCCAUACUGGAGAGAAACCUUUUUCUAGAGAGAAUUCUUAUCAAUGUGAAGAAUGUGGCAAAGUCUUUACACGGUCCUCACACCUUUCUAGAUACACAAGAAUCCAUACUGGAGAGAAACCUUUCAAAUGUGAAGAAUGUAGCAAAGUCUUUAUGCGGUUCUCAGCCCUUUCUACACACAAGAGAAUCCACACUGGAGAGAAACCUUUCAAAUGUGAAGAAUGUGGCAAAGCUUUUAAGCACUCCUCAACCCUUACUACACAUAAGAUGAUUCAUACUGGAGAGAAACCCUACAGAUGUGAAGAAUGUGGCAAAAGCUUCAACACAUCCUCACACCUUACUGCACAUAAGAUAAUUCAUACUGGAGAGAAACCCUACAAAUGUGAAGAAUGUGACAAAGCUUUUAACCAUUCUUCAUCUCUUACUACACAUAAGUUCAUUCAUGCUGGAGAGAAACCCUACAAAUGUGAAGAAUGUGACAAAGCUUUUUAUCGAUUCUCAUUCCUUACCAAACAUAAGAUAAUUCAUACUGGAGAGAAAUUCUACAAAUGUGAAGAAUGUGGCAAAGGCUUUUACUGGUUUUCAACCCUUACUAAACAUAAGAGAAUUCAUACUGGAGAGAAACCCUACAAAUGUGAAGAAUGUGGCAAGGCCUUUAAUGUGUCUUCAAACCUUACUACACAUAAGAUGAUUCAUACUGGAAAGAAACCCUACAAAUGUGAAGAAUGUGGCAAAGCCUUUAACUACUCCUCAAAACUUACCAAACAUAAGAUAAUUCAUACUGGAGAGAAACCUUACAAAUGUGAAGAAUGUGGCAAAGCUUUUAACCAAUCCUCAAACCUUACUACACAUAAGAUAAUUCAUACUGGAGAGAAGUCUUACAAAUGUGAAGAAUGUGGCAAAGCUUUUACCCAUUCCUCACACCUUACUUCACACAGGAGAAUUCACACUGGAGAGAAACCCUACAAAUGUGAAGAAUGUGGCAAAGCUUUUAACCAAUCCUCAAAUCUUAGUAAACAUAAGAUAAUUCAUAUUGGAUAGAAGUCUUACAAAUCUGAAGAAUGUGAUAAAGCCUUUAACCAAACCUCAACUCUUACUAAA